UACGAUGGCUACAAUAAUAGC
ensembl:piRNA 21ur-663 ncRNA